GACGGAAGGUGCAAGCGUUGCUCGGAAUCACUGGGCGUAAAGGGUGCGUAGGCGGCUUGGUAAGUUGGGUGUGAAAGCCCCGGGCUCAGCCCGGGAAGGGCACUCGAAACUGCCGAGCUGGAGUGCCGGAGGGGAGAGUGGAAUUCCUGGUGUAGCGGUGAAAUGCGUAGAUAUCAGGAGGAAUACCGGUGGCGAAAGCGACUCUCUGGACGGCAACUGACGCUGAGGCGCGACAGCGUGGGGAGCAAACAGG
rnacentral:rRNA from 1 species